UCCAAGAAGGAGGGAUGAGGGAAGCUGUGCAGAGAGGAGCAAAACCUUCACUCUAGAAAGAAAGACGAGAAGAGAGGGAGAAAGAGCAAGAAAGAGGAGCAAUUCGUCCUAGUUUCCCAUGCUUUUUAUUCAGGAAUUUUCAGGUUGAACAUGAUAAAGGAGAUACUUCAUGCGUGCAGAAGGAGACAAAUUUGAUCAAAAUUUACAUAUCAAGUUUCUUUUUUUAUGCUUUUAGUUUCAUGUAUUCAAGAACCUUGAAUUUGUAAUAGAUUUUAAAUACAUGGAUGUAUUAAAGUACCCUUGAGAUGUAAUUCAUUUCUUCAUUAUAUAAUCUUUUAUUAAAAUUGUGUUCAA